UACAGAGGGGGCAAGCGUUGUUCGGAAUUACUGGGCGUAAAGGGCGCGUAGGCGGCCUUCUAAGUCGAACGUGAAAUCCCCGGGCUCAACCCGGGAACUGCGUCCGAUACUGGAAGGCUUGAAUUCGGGAGAGGGAUGCGGAAUUCCAGGUGUAGCGGUGAAAUGCGUAGAUAUCUGGAGGAACACCGGUGGCGAAGGCGGCAUCCUGGACCGGCAUUGGCGCUGAGGCGCGAAAGCCAGGGGAGCAAACGGG
rnacentral:rRNA from 1 species